UAGGGAAUCUUCCGCAAUGGGCGAAAGCCUGACGGAGCAACGCCGCGUGAGUGAUGAAGGUCUUCGGAUCGUAAAACUCUGUUAUUAGGGAAGAACAAAUGUGUAAGUAACUAUGCACGUCUUGACGGUACCUAAUCAGAAAGCCACGGCUAACUACGUGCCAGCCGCCGCGGUAAUACGUAGGUGGCAAGCGUUAUCCGGAAUUAUUGGGCGUAAAGCGCGCGUAGGCGGUUUUUUAAGUCUGAUGUGAAAGCCCACGGCUCAACCGUGGAGGGUCAUUGGAAACUGGAAAACUUGAGUGCAGAAGAGGAAAGUGGAAUUCCAUGUGUAGCGGUGAAAUGCGCAGAGAUAUGGAGGAACACCAGUGGCGAAGGCGACUUUCUGGUCUGUAACUGACGCUGAUGUGCGAAAGCGUGGGGAUCAAACAGG
rnacentral:rRNA from 1 species